rnacentral:lncRNA from 1 species
CCAGGAUCCCAGACUGUAUUGCUAAGCCAUUGCCAACGAUUUGCACUUCUGUCGUCCCUUUCAUCUGGGAACCACAAGGCCAUCUGAAACUUCUCUGAUCAGCUUCAGAGGAGUCCCCUCUAUCAGUUAAGAAUUGUACUCUACACUGAGAAGCAGGUAUUGCAUUUGUUGGUCGCAAGGAUAAUCCCCCAAAUUCCCACAGCAUCCAGAUGAAGUUGUCUACUGUCCACAGGAUGUUCAGCAAAGACACCGGGAUGUAUUUGCCUGAAGAAGAACGGAAGAGAACUGAAAAGAGACAUCUAAGGGGAUGACGUUGUCAUCGGGCCAUUAAUACCUGAACUGCAUUUUAUUUCACAGAGGGCCUCAGGUACUCACAUAGGUAAGCAGAUACACGGAAAUGAAAAGAAUCCUCAUUAUUGGUCCAAAAUCUAUUAUAAUCCUAUAAACCCUAAGUGUGCAGUUUUAAUGCCCCCAAUUGUCCCAAUCCAUGGGUUAUAAAAGAGUUAACUUAUUUUCCCUAAAUGUCAAUCAAAGAUCUGGGCAUGGACCCUGAGUUUCAGGAAGCAACUGACAUCCUGAUAUUUAAUCAAUGAGGUAUUUUGUUUAUUUAAGCAUUCCUUCUCAAUAUUUGUAUCCCAAGCCCUACAGUGUGGAAUCAAUGUCUGAGAAACCAGGAAGAAAAUCUGACCCAAAGCUAGUGGAAAGGCAGAGAGAGAAGCUGAUACCUUCAGGAACAGCGAAUGCCACACUUGUUUCUGCUCCCCCUGGAUUUAUCAUGGAAGGUGAUCUAAUCCAUCCAUUCCCAGAAGAGAGUGUGUUGUAGCACUGGGUAUUUAUUCUCAGCAUGCCAAAGUUCUGUGCCCACAGAAAAGGUCCACCUCGCCUACUGUCAAGACUUUGGGUAGAUGUGUGGAUGCUCAGAUGCCUUGCUCCUUUCUCCUUUCUCAUGCAUGUUUCUGGCUUUGUGUAUUCCCUGGAUUUUGCCCAUGUCCUUCAUCACUGUGGGCUCCAAGAUACACUUUACUUGGUCUGUGAAAAACAGCUGACUCAACUGAAAACCUCCAUGGACUUCUUCACUAUUGAUUCAGGGUGGACUCUACUUGCAUUGGUGAAAUUCCAGCCUGGGUUACUUCUGUCCAGUCUUAAUACUGAAAUUCUAGAGAGUAGCCACCCAAUCUGGAAGCCACGACAAAACUCUUGAUGGACGUGGGGAACUAGGUCAAUAUGUCACAUCCACAUCAUCCUAGAUCAGAUUGCCUGGGGACACAAUGACCAAGCUUUCCCAUCCAUAGAAGACAUGCUUCAGGCUGUCCCUACAGGCCCCCUCCAGCUCUUUAAGAGAGAUCCUUAGGGAGGCCCUGGUCUUUGUCAGAGACUGGGGUUGGUGGAGGGUGGCUAAUCUGUAAGUCUCCAGAAAACUAUGUGUCUGUCCUAUACAAUCUCAGCAAGCUGUUGGCCCAAAGUCUUGUGUUUUGCACUAACCAUGUAUCUCUCACUUCAUAUUAAACAAUACCCUCAACUUUUCAUCCUGAAAUCUCUUCUUGGUACAUUUGUUCAUUUUUCAUUCAUCUUUUCCUUUCUAAAUUUUCAAUGAUGUCCC